rnacentral:rRNA from 1 species
AGUGAACGCUGGCGGUAGGCCUAACACAUGCAAGUCGAACGGCAGCACAGUAAGAGCUUGCUCUUACGGGUGGCGAGUGGCGGACGGGUGAGGAAUACAUCGGAAUCUACUUUUUCGUGGGGGAUAACGUAGGGAAACUUACGCUAAUACCGCAUACGACCUACGGGUGAAAGCAGGGGAUCUUCGGACCUUGCGCGAUUGAAUGAGCCGAUGUCGGAUUAGCUAGUUGGCGGGGUAAAGGCCCACCAAGGCGACGAUCCGUAGCUGGUCUGAGAGGAUGAUUGGCCACACUGGAACUGAGACACGGUCCAGACUCCUACGGGAGGCAGCAGUGGGGAAUAUUGGGCAAUGGGCGCAAGCCUGAUCCAGCCAUACCGCGUGGGUGAAGAAGGCCUUCGGGUUGUAAAGCCCUUUUGUUGGGAAAGAAAAGCAGCAGGUUAAUACCCCGCUGUUCUGACGGUACCCAAAGAAUAAGCACCGGCUAACUUCGUG